rnacentral:rRNA from 1 species
AUUGAACGCUGGCGGCAUGCCUUACACAUGCAAGUCGAACGGCAGCGGGCCUUCGGGUGCCGGCGAGUGGCGAACGGGUGAGUAAUGCAUCGGAACGUGCCAUUGAGUGGGGGAUAACGUAGCGAAAGUUACGCUAAUACCGCAUAUUCUGUGAGCAGGAAAGCAGGGGACCGCAAGGCCUUGCGCUCUUUGAGCGGCCGAUGUCAGAUUAGCUAGUUGGUGAGGUAAAGGCUUACCAAGGCGACGAUCUGUAGCGGGUCUGAGAGGAUGAUCCGCCACACUGGAACUGAGACACGGUCCAGACUCCUACGGGAGGCAGCAGUGGGGAAUUUUGGACAAUGGGGGCAACCCUGAUCCAGCCAUUCCGCGUGAGUGAAGAAGGCCUCGG